AUUGAACGCUGGCGGCAUGCCUUACACAUGCAAGUCGAACGGCAGCACGGGUGCUUGCACCUGGUGGCGAGUGGCGAACGGGUGAGUAAUACAUCGGAACGUACCUUAUCGUGGGGGAUAACGCAGCGAAAGCUGUGCUAAUACCGCAUACGCCCUGAGGGGGAAAGCGGGGGAUCGAAAGACCUCGCGCGAUUAGAGCGGCCGAUGCCUGAUUAGCUUGUUGGCGGGGUAAAAGCCCACCAAGGCGACGAUCAGUAGCUGGUCUGAGAGGACGAUCAGCCACACUGGGACUGAGACACGGCCCAGACUCCUACGGGAGGCAGCAGUGGGGAAUUUUGGACAAUGGGGGCAACCCUGAUCCAGCAAUGCCGCGUGAGUGAAGAAGGCCUUCGGGUUGUAAAGCUCUUUUGUCAGGGAAGAAACAGCAGCUCUAACACAGUCUGCGAAUGACGGUACCUGAAGAAUAAGCACCGGCAAACUACGUGCCAGCAGCCGCGGUAA
rnacentral:rRNA from 1 species